GGUCUCGUAGCUCAGUUGGUUAGAGCAUUGGUCUUAUGAGCCGAAGGUCGCGGGUUCAAGACCCGCCGGGACCA
rnacentral:tRNA from 1 species